AUGCACUUAUUUGCCACCGUGCACACUCACACGAAGGGCACACACACAAUACCUAGAUACACCAACCUUGAUACGAAAAGAAACCUAAAAAUGAAGAAAAGGAAAAAGAGGAGUCGACCUGCAGAUCCCUGGAGCAAGACACGAAUACCAGCACGGACCCAGCGACGAACAAGUGGGGAGGUCAAGCAGGAGCAGCUACAUAGGAAGGACCAGUCCACAGAAAUGUCACAACCAGACCUCGGCUCAAGCAGACAACGGAAAUCGGGUCAAAAGGAAGAUCGCCCAGGGAUCAACGAGUGGCGCAACGGAUCUGGCCCAACGACGAGAAGAGCAAUGGAUCUGCAAGCAAUAGGCAGCCAAGAUCCAAAACUGGUCAGCCAUGACAAAUCGAACGCCGAAAAAGGGGAAUGA
rnacentral:rRNA from 1 species